GAAUUCAACGUUGUUGGUAGUGAAUCAGUCCUUCGAUCCUUGUGAGUUUGUCGACGUUGACAGUGUUAGUGGCACAGCAACUGUGGUUAAUAGAUGCAGUAGUGGAAGCGUGCUCUGGUGAAAGCAGGCGACGCCGAAGGGCUGCAGACCGCCCUCGGCUCCCUAUCUGCAGGCGCCCUCUCGACUUUCUUGGGUGACACGGAUUUGUUUGGUUGGACUCCCUUACACUGGGCUUCACUGAACG
rnacentral:lncRNA from 1 species